UUGCUCAGUCCCAUAAUAUGUAUAUUAAAACUGGAAUCUUAUAGAGAAAAUAAACAUGGCCUCUGCACAAGAAUGUCAGGCAAAUUGAUGAAGUGGCCCUUGUUUUU
ensembl:snRNA U6 U6 spliceosomal RNA